rnacentral:lncRNA from 1 species
UGAUAAGACAAGAUCAACACGUACUGAACUCAUCCAGGUCCUGGGGAUUCUGUAAGGAGCAAAACUAUCCUUGAAUCAGUGAAACAUGUUCAGAUUGGUCCAACUCCAACAAACUUGUCUUGGAUCAGAGCCACUGCUGAGGGGAACCACAAUGACUUACUCAAGAUCAAUGGAAAAGCUUCGUCAACAGCACCUAAGAUGCUCAUAGUCACAGGCUUGAGAUAACCCUUGGUUAUGUCGCUUAGAUUCCUUCUGUCA